GAUGAACGCUGGCGGCGUGCCUAAUACAUGCAAGUCGAGCGAACAGAUAAGGAGCUUGCUCCUUUGACGUUAGCGGCGGACGGGUGAGUAACACGUGGGUAACCUACCUAUAAGACUGGAAUAACUCCGGGAAACCGGGGCUAAUGCCGGAUAACAUUUAGAACCGCAUGGUUCUAAAGUGAAAGAUGGUUUUGCUAUCACUUAUAGAUGGACCCGCGCCGUAUUAGCUAGUUGGUAAGGUAACGGCUUACCAAGGCAACGAUACGUAGCCGACCUGAGAGGGUGGUUCGCCCAACUGGAACUGGAGCACGGUCCAGACUCCUAAGGGGAGCAACAGGAGGGAAUCUUCCGCAAUGGGCGAAAGCCUGACGGAGCAACGCCGCGUGAGUGAUGAAGGUCUUCGGAUCGUAAAACUCUGUUAUUAGGGAAGAACAAAUGUGUAAGUAACUGUGCACGUCUUGACGGUACCUAAUCAGAAAGCCACGGCUAACUACGUG
rnacentral:rRNA from 1 species